GACGAACGCUGGCGGCGUGCUUAACACAUGCAAGUCGAACGGAAAGGCGCUGCUUUUGUUUUUUGCUCGUUAGGCGAACGGGUGAGUAACACGUGAGUAACCUGCCCUUGACUUUGUGAUAACAUUAGGAAACUGCGGCUAAUACCGGAUAGGAUCUCCUGCUGCAUGUGGUUGGUUGGAAAGUUUCGGCGGUUGUGGAUGGACUGGCUGGUUAUGAGCUUGUUUGUGGGGUAGUUGCUUACCAGGGGUUUGACGGGUAGGCGGCCUGAGAGGGUGAACGGCCACAUUGGGCCUGAGAUACGGCGCAGACUGCUACGGGACGCAGCAGGGGGGAGUAUGACACAACAGGCGGAAGUGUGAUACAGCAACGCCGGGUGCGUGAUGACGGCUUACGGGUUGUAAACAGAUGUCGCAUGUAACGAGGAGUGCGUGACGGUAAUGAGUAAAGAAGCACCGGCUAACUACGUG
rnacentral:rRNA from 1 species